rnacentral:rRNA from 1 species
GUCUAUGGUCAUACCACCCUGAACACCCGCCCAAUCUCGGCUGAUCAGAAGCUAAGCAGGGUUGAGCCUGGUUAGUACUUGGAUGGGAGACUACUUUCGGAAUACCAGGUGCUGUAUAGG